CUCUCCAUGAUAAUCUUUAGUUAUUUUGUAUAACGCAACAACAUAAAAAACAUGAGCUUAUAUGAAUAAAUAAUAUUGGGGACAAUUAAUAUUAGUAGCCGUUUAAAUUGUUAUUAAUCCAUAAAAUAAGUGGUCAAAGUAUCGAUAGCUUCUGAAUAAAUUGUAGCAAAGGCUUUACUCAACUACUAUACGAGAUGUUUAACAUGAAGAUAUUUUUGUUGGUAGUUUUGGUAGUGGCUUCGUUUGCUGCCGUAACCUAUGCAUGCAUAGAGCCCGGCCAAUUUUGCGCAGUUGAUUCGUCUUGUUGCAGCCAUAAAUGUCACAAAAAGACGAGCAGAUGUAAACAGAUGAACUAUUUUCUAUAAACGAAUUAGUAAAAUCACUAUUUGGCAGUGAAUAGUCACUAUUUUCACUAUUUCCAAUCUAAGAGAGUACCUAAGAUAACUUUGAAUUCACUUUCAACUCAGUUUAUAUUUAUAUAUAGUUUUUCCAAAUU